UACGGGGGGGGUAAGGCGUUGUUCGGAAUUACUGGGCGUAAAGGGCUCGUAGGCGGCCAACUAAGUCAGACGUGAAAUCCCUCAGCUUAACUGGGGAACUGCGUCUGAUACUGGAUGGCUUGGAUUUGGGAGAGGGAUGCGGAAUUCCAGGUGUAGCGGUGAAUGACGUAGAUAUCUGGAGGAACACCGGUGGCGAAGGCGGCAUCCUGGACCAAUAUUGACGCUGAGGAGCGAAAGCCAGGGGAGCAAACGGG
rnacentral:rRNA from 1 species